UACGGAGGGUGCAAGCGUUAAUCGGAAUUACUGGGCGUAAAGCGCACGUAGGCUGUUGUGUAAGUCAGGGGUGAAAUCCCACGGCUCAACCGUGGAACUGCCUUUGAUACUGCACGACUUGAAUCCGGGAGAGGGUGGCGGAAUUCUAGGCGUAGGAGUGAAAUCCGUAGAUAUCUGGAGGAACACCAGUGGCGAAGGCGGCCACCUGGACCGGUAUUGACGCUGAGGUGCGAAAGCGUGGGGAGCAAAC
rnacentral:rRNA from 1 species